AGAGUUUGAUCAUGGCUCAGAUUGAACGCUGGCGGAAUGCUUUACACAUGCAAGUCGAACGGCAGCACAGGAGAGCUUGCUCUCUGGGUGGCGAGUGGCGGACGGGUGAGGAAUACAUCGGAAUCUACCUUUUCGUGGGGGAUAACGUAGGGAAACUUACGCUAAUACCGCAUACGACCUACGGGUGAAAGUGGGGGACCGCAAGGCCUCACGCGAUUAGAUGAGCCGAUGUCCGAUUAGCUAGUUGGCGGGGUAAUGGCCUACCAAGGCGACGAUCAGUAGCGGGUCUGAGAGGAUGAUCCGCCACACUGGGACUGAGACACGGCCCAGACUCCUACGGGAGGCAGCAGUGGGGAAUUUUGGACAAUGGGGGCAACCCUGAUCCAGCCAUUCCGCGUGAGUGAAGAAGGCCUUCGGGUUGUAAAGCUCUUUCAGCUGGAGUGAAACGGUGCGCUCUAACAUAGCGUGCUAAUGACGGUACCAGCAGAAGAAGCACCGGCUAACUACGUGCCAGCAGCCGCGGUAAUACGUAGGGUGCGAGCGUUAAUCGGAAUUACUGGGCGUAAAGCGUGCGCAGGCGGAUUGUUAAGCAAGAUGUGAAAUCCCCGGGCUUAACCUGGGAAUGGCAUUUUGAACUGGCAGUCUAGAGUGCGUCAGAGGGGGGUGGAAUUCCACGUGUAGCAGUGAAAAUGCGUAGAGAUGUGGAGGAACACCGAUGGCGAAGGCAGCCCCCUGGGAUGACACUGACGCUCAUGUACGAAAGCGUGGGUAGCAAACAGGAUUAGAUACCCUGGUAGUCCACGCCCUAAACGAUGUCAACUGGUUGUUGGGGGAGUGAAAUCCCUUAGUAACGAAGCUAACGCGUGAAGUUGACCGCCUGGGGAGUACGGUCGCAAGAUUAAAACUCAAAGGAAUUGACGGGGACCCGCACAAGCGGUGGAUGAUGUGGAUUAAUUCGAUGCAACGCGAAAAACCUUACCUACCCUUGACAUGUCCAGAACCCUGAAGAGAUUUGGGGGUGCCCGAAAGGGAAUUGGAACACAGGUGCUGCAUGGCUGUCGUCAGCUCGUGUCGUGAGAUGUUGGGUUAAGUCCCGCAACGAGCGCAACCCUUAUCAUUAGUUGCUACGCAAGGGCACUCUAAUGAGACUGCCGGUGACAAACCGGAGGAAGGUGGGGAUGACGUCAAGUCCUCAUGGCCCUUAUGGGUAGGGCCUCACACGUCAUACAAUGGUCGGUACAGAGGGUUGCCAAGCCGCGAGGUGGAGCCAAUCCCAGAAAGCCGAUCGUAGUCCGGAUUGUUCUCUGCAACUCGAGAGCAUGAAGUCGGAAUCGCUAGUAAUCGCGGAUCAGCAUGUCGCGGUGAAUACGUUCCCGGGUCUUGUACACACCGCCCGUCACACCAUGGGAGUGGAAUCUGCCAGAAGUAGGUAGCCUAACCGCAAGGGGGGCGCUUACCACGGUGGGUUUCAUGANCUGGGGUGAAGUCGUAA
rnacentral:rRNA from 1 species